rnacentral:rRNA from 1 species
GGUUUUUUGAGUAUAAUUUAAGAUUUGGCCUGCCCACUGAGAAAUUAAAGGGCCGCGGUAUUUUGACCGUGCUAAGGUAGCAUAAUCAUUAGUUUUUUAAUUGAAAGCUGGAAUGAAUGGUCGGAUGAGAAAAAAGCUGUCUCUUUUUAAAUUUAAAUGAAUUUAAUUUUUAAGUUAAAAAGCUUAAAUAAUUUUAAAAGACGAGAAGACCCUAUAGAGUUUUAUAUUUUUGGAUAUUUAAGUUUUAGGAAUUUUAAUUUUAAAUAUUUAAAAUUAUUUGAUUGGGGUGAUUGAAAAAUUUAAUAAACUUUUUUUAUAUUUAUACAUGAAUUAAUGAAUAUUUGAUCCAUUUUUAUUGAUUAUAAGAUUAAAUUACCUUAGGGAUAACAGCGUAAUUUUUUUUGAGAGUUCAAAUCGAUAAAGAAGAUUGCGACCUCGAUGUUGGAUUAAAAUUAAUCUUUGGUGUAGAAGCUAGAGAAUUUGGUCUGUUCGACCAUUAAAAUUU